rnacentral:rRNA from 1 species
AUUGAACGCUGGCGGCAGGCCUAACACAUGCAAGUCGAACGAGAGGAGGAAGGGUGAGUAAUGUCUGGGAAACUGACUGAUGGAGGGGGAUAACUAACGGGAACGGUAGCUAAUACCGCAUACCAUCAGAUGGGCCCAGAUGGGAUUAGCUAGUGGGGGGGGUAACGGCUCACCAAGGCGACGAACCCUAGCGGGUCUGAGAGGAUGACCAGCCACACUGGAACUGAGACACGGUCCAGACUCCUACGGGAGGCAUCAGGGGGGAAUAUUGCACAAUGGGCGAAAGCCUGAUGCAGCCAUGCCGCGUGUAUGAAGAAGGCCUUCGGGUUGUAAAGUACUUUCAGCGGGGAGGCGUUACCCGCAGAAGAAGCACCGGCUAACUCCGUGCCAGCCGCCGCGGUAAUUC